AUCCAGCUGACGAGUCCCAAAUAGGACGGAACGUGCAUCAUGGAU
rnacentral:hammerhead_ribozyme from 1 species